GAUAAACGCUGGCGGCGUGCCUAACACAUGCAAGUCGAACGCGCUCGGGGAAACCUGAGUGAGUGGCGGACGGGUGAGUAACACGUGGGUACCUACCCUAUGGUGAGGAAUACCGGCGAGAAAUCGCUGACAAUACCGCAUAUGUUUCCUCGGAAACAAAGCCCGGCAACGGGCGCCACAGGAAGGUCCUGCGGCCAAUUAGCUAGUUGGUGAGGUAAAAGCUUACCAAGGCGACGAUCGGUAGCUGGUCUGAGAGGAUGGUCAGCCACACUGGGAUUGAGAACGGCCCAGACUCCUACGGGGGGCAGCAGUGAGGAAUUUUCGUCAAUGGGGGAAACCCUGAACGAGCAACGCCGCGUGCAGGAAGACGGCCUUCGGGUUGUAAACUGCUUUUCUCUGGGACGAGAACGGACGGUACCAGAGGAAUCAGCCCCGGCUAACUACGUGCCAGCAGCCGCGGUAAGAC
rnacentral:rRNA from 1 species